rnacentral:rRNA from 1 species
UCUGGUUGAUCCUGCCAGUAGUCAUAUGCUUGUCUCAAAGAUUAAGCCAUGCAUGUCUAAGUAUAAAUAGUAUACAGUGAAACUGCGAAUGGCUCAUUAAAACAGUUAUAGUUUAUUUGAUAAUUGACAAUUACAUGGAUAACCGUGGUAAUUCUAGAGCUAAUACAUGCUUAAACGCCCGACUUUAUGGAAGGGUGGUAUUUAUUAGACUGAAGCCAAUAUUCCUUGUGUCUAUUGCGGUGAUUCAUAAUAACUGAUCGAAUCUCUUUUUGAGAUAAAUCAUUCAAGUUUCUGCCCUAUCAGCUUUCGAUGGUAGUGUAUUGGACUACCAUGGCAGUAACGGGUAACGAAGAAUUAGGGUUCGAUUUCGGAGAGGGAGCAUGAGAAACGGCUACCACAUCUAAGGAAGGCAGCAGGCGCGUAAAUUACCCAAUCCUGACUCAGGGAGGUAGUGACAAGAAAUAGCAAACCGGGAACCUCAUGGUUUCACGGUAUUGCAAUGAGAACAAUUUAAAACCCUUAGCGAGAAUCAAGUGGAGGACAAGUCUGGUGCCAGCACCCGCGGUGAUUCCAGCUCCACUAGCGUAUAUUAAAGUUGUUGCAGUUAAAAGCUCGUAGUUGAACCUCUGUCUGGGGCUAGUUUUGGCUUUGGUCAGGCUAGUUCUAGGCAUCCGCCUACAAGACUUAGAGGGCAUUCAGUUGUUCACUAGGAGGAGUAGGCAUUUUACUUUGAAAAAAUUAGAGUGUUUAAGGCAGGCAAUCGCCCGCAUAUAUUAGCAUGGAAUAAUAGAAUAGGACACUUUUCCAUUUCGUUGGUUAUUGGAAUCGUGUAAUGAUUAAUAGGGACAGUUGUGGGCAUUUGUAUUUAAUUGUCAGAGGUGAAAUUCUUGGAUUUAUUAAAGACAAACUAACGCGAAAGCAUUUGCCAAGGAUGUUUUCAUUAAUCAAGAACGAAAGUUAGGGGAUCAAAGACGAUCAGAUACCGUCCUAGUCUUAACUAUAAACUAUUCCGACUCAAUGUUUGACUGGCUUAUAUAACCAGUUGAGCGUUGUAUGAGAAAUCAAAGUCUUUAGGUUCUGGGGGGAGUAUGGUUGCAAAGCUGAAACUUAAAGGAAUUGACGGAAGAGCACAACCAGGAGUGGAUUCUGCGGCUUAAUUUGACUCAACACGGGGAAACUUACCAGGUUAAAACAAUAGUGGGAUUGACAGUUUGAGAGCGCUUUCUUGAUUGGUUGGGUGGUGGUGCAUGGCCGUUCUUAGUUGGUGGAGUGAUUUGUCUGCUUAA